GCGCCCCGCCCGGGGCUCUCGGGGCUCUCGGCGCUCUCGGCGCCCCCGGCGCGGCCCGCGGGCUCCGGGGCUCGGCCCCCCGGCCCUGCCCCUGCUCCCGGCGGCGGGCGCGGCGAGCUGCGGGCUUGGAAUAUGGUCGGGGAAAUGGAAACCAAGGAGAAGCCGAAGCCCACCCCCGAUUACCUGAUGCAGCUGAUGAACGACAAGAAGCUCAUGAGCAGCCUGCCCAACUUCUGCGGGAUCUUCAACCACCUCGAGAGGCUGCUGGACGAAGAAAUUAGCAGAGUACGGAAAGACAUGUACAAUGACACAUUAAAUGGCAGUACAGAGAAAAGAAGUGCAGAAUUGCCUGAUGCUGUGGGACCUAUUGUUCAGUUACAAGAGAAACUUUAUGUGCCUGUAAAAGAAUACCCAGAUUUUAAUUUUGUUGGGAGAAUCCUUGGACCUAGAGGACUUACAGCUAAACAGCUUGAAGCAGAAACAGGAUGUAAGAUAAUGGUCCGAGGCAAAGGCUCAAUGAGGGAUAAAAAGAAGGAGGAACAAAAUAGAGGCAAGCCCAAUUGGGAGCAUCUAAAUGAAGAUUUACAUGUACUAAUCACUGUGGAAGAUGCUCAGAACAGAGCAGAAAUCAAACUGAAGAGGGCUGUUGAAGAAGUGAAGAAGUUACUGGUACCUGCAGCAGAAGGAGAAGACAGCCUUAAGAAGAUGCAGCUGAUGGAACUGGCGAUUCUGAAUGGCACCUACAGAGACGCCAACAUUAAAUCACCAGCCCUUGCCUUUUCUCUUGCAGCAACAGCCCAGGCUGCCCCAAGGAUUAUUACUGGGCCUGCGCCUGUUCUCCCACCAGCUGCCCUGCGUACACCUACGCCAGCUGGCCCUACCAUAAUGCCUUUGAUCAGACAAAUACAGACCGCUGUCAUGCCAAAUGGAACUCCUCACCCAACUGCUGCAAUAGUUCCUCCAGGACCUGAGGCUGGUUUAAUUUACACACCCUAUGAAUACCCCUACACAUUGGCACCAGCUACAUCAAUCCUUGAGUAUCCUAUUGAACCUAGUGGUGUAUUAGAGUGGAUUGAGAUGCCAGUCAUGCCUGAUAUCUCAGCCCAUUGACUUGCCGGAGGAAGGCCUAGAGUACGGCAGCUGUUAUAGCACGACCAGUCAAUGUGGGACAGACCGUUUCAGUGCGACCUUUUUGUUUUAUCAGACAGAAUUUGAUUUUUUUUUUUUUUUUUUUUCCUGAAUUGUCUAUGACCUUGGUGCUGCAUGCAUGCUGUUGACUUUUAGGACUUUGAUCUUUAAAGUUUUUUUUUUCCCCAGCAUUAAUAUUGAUUUACAGAAUUUCGAAAGUCUUUAAUGAACCUGAACACUAAGAUUUAAACUCAAAAAUUCAUUGUUCAAUUAAAUGAAGCCACAGUGCUCUGUAUGUUAUCUGUGUGUGCAUGCACUCAGGUGCCUUUUGUUUUAUGAACAAAUACAUUUUAUUGUACAUGUUUUCUGUUUACCACUAAAUCAUUGUGUAAAGUAAUUAUAGGUCAGAAUUAUACCACAGAACGGUUUAUCAGAGGCUUGUUUCUGUUGCACAUUUCUUGAAGCAUUUUUUUAAAAUAACAUGUAACAUAUAACCUUUUUCAGUUUUCCUUUCUAUUAAUACUCUGUCCUGUGAUCUCAUGCAUGCUCCUUUCCCCCCAGAACUCCUCCUCUCUGCUGCACCCACAGCAUCUGUUCCUGAGGAGUUUUAGGGCUGUUGGUGUUCCCGCAGGGGUGUGUCUUAGCCACCAGCUGGCAGUCCAGCAAUGUUGAUGCAGGAUCUCCCUGAUUUUGCCAUGUGGAAUUACUCUUGUAUAUGAUCAGUUUAUCUAAAAUGAAAAGGGGGUGAUGGACCAGUUUACUGCUUAGAAACAGCAAGAGGCACUGCAGUAGACUUUGUUUCUCCUUUUAAAGCCAUGUAUUUUUUGUUUCGUUGGGGAAUUUUUAUUUAUAAAAAUUUAAUUAUUAGACGGGCAAAAUUAAAAUAUUCAGAUACCUAAUUGGCAAUCAUAAGGUGAAUAAUAUUGAGUACUAAGUGGAGUAAAAAAAAAACGAAAACCAACUAUUCUUGAUUUUAAUUCCUGCUUUGCCACCUAAGCAGUAAAACAUGAUAUUGAUCUCUUGGAAAACUGAGAAAAUUAUUUUAAAUUGCUAAGUUGUAAUAAAUUUGCACACAGAUAACAUGCAUGCUAUAUAUCAGAUUUCACCAUUAAAUUAUUUAAAAAUAAGCAGUGCCCUUCAAAACAGAUGCAGACAUGUGUGUUGGUGGUAGUGAGGAGAUUGGUAUUAGCAUCAAAUCUUCAUUGGUGACUAAUUUUUAAUUCCCUUCCUUUUAUCUUUAGGUAUGGCUUUCCCAACGAAAGGCUAAGAAUUCAAGAACGGUCUUAACUGAACCCUCAUCAGAUCUGAAUUUAACAAAUGCUUAGUCUCAGCAGCCUCCGGGGGAAAAAAAGCUUAGCCUAGCAGUCAGUGACUUACUUGCACUUUUUGCACAUAGAUAUAAAGUACAAUUAUGUUAUUAAUUUGGUUUAGUCUGUAAUAUUACAAAGUAACUGUAAUUUAUAAAGGAGUGUAUAGUAGUAUACUGACUGCUAAGUGUUCUCUACUGUUUGCUUUACUAAUCACCUAAUUCAUUGCAGUUCAUACUUAUUGACUCAAAGUUUAAAACCACAAUCUGUAGGCUUUAAGAAUUGCUUUUAAACCUUUUUAAGUGAUAAACUUUAGAAGUGGUCUUAAGGUUAGCAAAUAAUUGUCAGCAUUAAACAUGGCAUUAUUUAAGGAGUCCUGCUGCAGGAAAGACACUUCAGUGAAUAUGUGACUAGUAAAGCGUAAAUGUGUUUGGAUCUAAUCGAGUUCAUGAAGUACUGUGACUUGGGAAUUAUAAACGAAUGGAUGAAAUAGGUUAAGGCCAAGCUGUUUGAAAUGAAUGCAAUAUUAAUAGCUGCAUAUAUACAUGACAUAUUAUGGUUAAUUUUAAAACUACUGUGCCUUAACGUAUUUGUUCAAAGAAACUUUUGCAGUAAAUGAACAUUUUAAAUCCAUUUUGAUAGACCUGCUGUUAAUGUUGUUGUUUUGUUUUUUCCCCCCUUGUCAAUGUUUUCUAACUUUGUCUUGGUAAUUGCAAUUUAACUAGGUGCGGUGGCUACUAAAGUUCGAAGGCACGAUAUGCGUGUCCAUCCUUACCAAAGGAUUGUGACCGCAGACCGAGCCGCCACCGGCAACUAACCUAUGACCUUCUGACCUCUGAACUCUUCACCCAAUGAUGACCUGACCAUGCCUGCCUGCUGAUCAGUUAACUGGUAAUCGCCUUUGCUUGCCUGUCGUCAGUGCAGCGAGCUGAGGCACUUGUCCGUUCGUCUUACCAUCUAACCAAACAAAAGACAAAGAAAUUGUUGUCCUCCAACUCAGCUUUUUUUCCUGUUUGGGUGAAAGUGGUUCUAGAACCUGCACUGAAUAGUAGUAAAGCAAUAAGGCCCAAUCCAUCCCACAGCACUGAUCAUCUUUUAAUUUCCCACCCUAAGCGAACGGUAAGAAGGGGAGGCAGAUGGCCCUUAACUACUCAGUGACAGAGGCAGUUACUGUGAGAGACUUCUAGGAAUCUUUCUUCUCGUAGCGAAGUCACAGCUCUCUCUGAAUGUACUGUGUGAUGAUGCAUCAUGCAUGAACCUUUGGUCAGGGAUGUCAUUGGUGAAGUGAUUUCAACAAGUAUUCAAAAUUUGAUAUGCUGUUUAGUCACUACAGUGCCCUCAAAGGGCAGAAGUUGCAGCCUUUUUUAUAUUGCCUGCCAAAAUUUAAAGUAUUAGGAGAAAGUGUGCCAUGAGAGAAAAAAUUAACAAGGAAUUUUGAAAAGUAAUUCAAAGAACAAAACUGCAACACUAUUUUUUAAGAAAAUAAAUACUGAGUUAAAAUUACUGAACUUUUAUUUUACACCUCCUUAAAAAAUAUAUGAGAACAAGGUACAUGCAUUAUGUGUCACAUUACUGGGCAAACUGUUCAAAUUUUUUUAAACCUCCCUGUAUAGAAAAAAAAAAUCAUUAAGGAUGUAAAAGCCAUGCUUGCCUAUUUGCUGUAUACAUGUAAUGAAAUUGUAGAUAAAGUGUAGUGCAUUGAAACAAAUGAACAAAAAGUAGAUACUUUUACUAUACAAGGGUGCUGGUGCAGAAAAAAAAUAUAUAUUUUUGGAAAUGUAGCAUUUUAUACUUUCAAGUGUUAUAAAAAAAAAGAAAAAAGAACAAAGAAACCCUUUAUUUCAUUAAAUGAUUUUUUCUGGUGGUUGUCAAGAAACAAAAGACCAAAAGAGCCUUUUUGUCUUUCUUUUUUAUUUUUUAAGUAUUGGAAUAAGUCUAAAGAAAAGAAAGUGCCUUAUUUUCCUUCAUGGUCAUUUAGUCAAGUGUCUCUAAGAUCAGCUCCUCCCUCAGAAUACAAGUUAAUGCACGUUACUCAGUCGCCCAGUAUGUGAAAAGAAGAUAGGAGGGGAGACAAAUGAGUUUGAUGGUUGGAAUCAUACAAUUUUUGCCACGUUACCUUGAUGCAAAUUUGCCAAAUCUGAUACUGUGAAAAAAUUUGAUAACUUUUCUAAUGCCUGACUAGGAAGUUUUUAAAACAUCCUUCUUUUAAAAUCAUAAUUGAGUAUUUUUGGUUAUUGCAGUCUUCAACGUAAGCAAGCCCAAAGGAUUCUGAGCUAAGAAUUAUGUGCGAUUCUAAACAUCAGUUUAUAGGCAAUAUUAGAGCUUUAUUUUAUUUGGAGAAGGAGGUUGUGUUGAAUUUUUCUUACUAAUUAGAGAUAAUAGACUAUAGCAAACUUUUUCACAAAAAAAUUAAUCUUUAUGAUUUUCAUUUUGAAAAACAAUGUUUUUAAAACACCCAAAAAUUUAAUCAGAUUUCUUUCUACCAUACCAGAUAACUUGUAUAGUCCAUCUCUUUGCUGGUUUUAGUAAAAAAUAAAAUAAAUAAAUAAAUAAAUAAAAACCCUAUACAUACAUACACACACACCACCUUUUUCUUUUUUAAUUUUAAAAGAAUGUGAAAACUAACAUCACUUUGCAUAUAAAGUCUCAGCUACAUUUCAGUUUAAGCUUCCAGUUUCUCAUGAAGUUCAGACAGUUUUGUAGUUGAAGCAAUUUGUGCACGAAGCCUACAUCUAAACUCUUGAGUAAAUAAUCAUUAACUGCUCGGUACCAGACAUGGCAAAUAUCAAGUGACAGUGGAUUAUCAACUUAUCAGCUCAUUCCCUCUUAACAUCCCUUCCUGGUGUCACAGUCACAGGUCAGCAGUAAGCUCAGUAAGCACCUACGUGGUGACCCCAUUCAUCAUCUUGUCUCACUCGGAAACAGUUUUCAGUUUAUUUACUAUGCAAUAGACAUUCAUUGUUUUGUAUUCUGCUAGCUUUGGUGUAAUGUGCCACUGCUUUGUCUUUCUGUUACACAUACAGUUGUUUUGAUUUAUUUACAAUAUAUGCCGUGCCAUUUUGAUUUUUAUUUUGGUUGGUUGGUUGAAUAAAUUUGCGACACUCAAACAUUGAGGUGAUAGUUGUUAAAAACAAUACCAGUAUUUGAUCCAGUUUCAUCUCAACUAUGUUAUACCUGGACAUUUUAGAUGUUUAUCAAAGGUCUUUUAUUGGGAAGAAAGUAAAUAUAUGAAAUAAAUGUGUGACAUUUAUGGGUAAUGUUGGCUCUGAACAAACUUUUGAAAACUUAGUUGACAAAAUUUUGGAUCAACUGAAAAAAAAAAAAAGCAUGACUUUUGAAAUCUCUGAAUGCCUUGGUUCUCAGUAUUAUUCUUUAUUGAAUUUAUUUCUUAUUAAAAUAUGUAGUUUUUAAGAAUUUUUUCUGACAGUAUUAUGUAAUUUUUUUUUUUAGAGUGGGUAGAUGGGAGUGUCGCUUGUAUGUUACCGUACAGCUGACAUGUAUUUUUGUCUAUUCUUUAUUAUCUUAGUAGUUUCAUGCUGUGUCUGUACCAUAACCAACCUAUUGCCUAUGAGAAACAUGUAAGAUAAUGUAUUUACAGCCAUUGUUACAAGUUUAUAAUGUAUUUUUCUAUCUUGUUUUAUAUGUAUGUUAUAUAACAUUCAAAAAGAAUUUUUUUCUUGAUUGAGAAAAGGAUACAAAAUGCAAAAUCCACACUUUUGAUAACCGAAAAUUGCCAAUUGUUUUGCAGUACUUUAUUAUAUCGGGUGUCUUGUCUUUCUUGGGCUUUUAGUUAGCUAAUGAAUGAAUACAUUAGACACUUUUGGGUUUUUAGUUGGGAUUUUACAUAGCUUGCAUUUUAAUUCUUUGGUUCUUUGCUGUUUCUAUUAACCCAUAGCAUUAUUUUAAUAAAUGUUAUAAUACCAACCUACUAACUCUGGACUAUGUCUGUUUAUUAACCUUUUCAUGUUUAAUUAAAAUAAACAAAUAAAGACAAAAGAAUGUAAAGGCUUGAGUUACUGGACUAACCCUGGAAGAAACGUGACCACAGAUAACAUAGCGUGACUUGUUUUUAAUGUUGUCUGUCAGCUGACAAUUCCGCACACUAGUGUUAAAAUGGCUUUGGUUUUUCUGCCCUUUUACCUUGGGGGUUGGUGCCGGUAGUUAUGGGAACAAGUAGUGUGCGUUUGAGGUGUUCUUUCUGUAGUUUGCCACUUGACUUUCAGCAUCUGCAUUACUAAUUCCACAUUUUCUUAUUUUUUCUUCUCCGAAAUAAUCACUGUCUGCUCACAGCAAAAAGUAUAAGGAGACUCGUUGUAAUGAUAUACACAGAGAAACCAGUUUGAUUCUUUGUUGAACCAUUUCUUUCUAACUUCUGUAAAUUGGUAAUUUUAUGGUCACAUUAUGAGGCAAAGAAUCUGGUUAUAGUUUACCUUUAUUUGGAUUUUUGUUUUAACGUUUUCCUUUUAUAAAGUGUUGAACUUUUGUAGCCAACUGCUCUUACCAGAGAAACUCAAAACAGGUAAAAAAGCCAAAGUCCGAUGGGUUCCCUUCCUCUUGGUAGGCCCAGGGAGCGGUUAAUUAUAGCAAUACAAUCCCACCUCUCUCCUUGUAGACCCUUCACCAGUAGGUUAGACAGCAUGGUUGCGUUUCCUCUCUCACCCACUUCCAAACUACAGCCAAAAUGUAACAUUAACAAGAAAUUAAGUGGGGAAGAAUACUGGCAUUUGAAAAGUAAUGUGUAAUUAAUUUCCUUCAGUUCAGUUUAUGAGGAUUUCUUAAAUACUUUCAUGCUUUUCUUGGCUGCAGCCUGGGUCAAUUGUCCUAUAUUUAUGAAUUCUCUAGUUGAACUCUUGAGAUGCACAUUUAUUUCACAGAUGUUCACACUUUCCCUUUCUGUGAAAUAGUUCCCCUGGAUAAUAAAAAUUCUCGGGAUAAAUCUUUGUGUUUGUAAAUAAUGGCUUAUUUGGGGGAAAUUAGAUUUUAUUUAUUUUAAAGUUCUAAAAGUUGACUGAAAUGAGUCACGUCAUAGAAGACAAACUAUACUAUAUUGCUAUUAAUCAGACUGUCAGGUAUCCCAGUAUUUCAUAUAUGGGUGUGUGUGUAUAAUAAACAUAUACAUGCGCACACAUACGUCUACAAAAUAUAUAGGAUAGUGGUAACAGCUGAUUUAAUCACCAUUGAGACGGUCAUUUGGGUCAUGUAAACAAAUAUUGUCAUUUCUCUGCUGGAGGUGGCAGUUCCUUAUUGUUAGGCAAAGCUUUAAUAUACUGCUAUUUGUAAAGGUUCCCGUUGCCAUCAGAGUUCAUACAUUCUGUGAAAAUUUGAUGAUGUCUGUCAAGUUGCUAAUACAUAAGUUAUUGUGAUACCAUUUAACUUAAAUUUAUGAAGAAUUUCUAUGCAAUUUACUACACAUUCUGUGAAGCCUAAAAAUGCAGUCUCAUCUCAUUUUCAUUUUAAUGGUACUUUAUGUAUAAUUAUGUCAUUGUCAUCUUUUUUGUUGGAAAAGUUGUAAAGGUUCUUUUAAAGGUGAAAAUAACAUUACAAUCCCAUUUUUGUACAGGGUGUGUUAGUUUUAAACAUGAGACUACCAAAUUCUUAGAUUGAUGAAAUUCUAGAAUCAGUUUAUUGUUUUAUACAGUUACUUGACAAAAUAACUGAAAGUUGAGCUUUCAGUUAGGAACGUUUUUUUUGUCCCCGUAGAUAAAAUGUCAGGAAAAAUUGAAGCAUGAAAGUAAGUCUUCACAUUAAGCUUCAGUGUAGUAGCUUCAAGUAUAGCAGAGUUCACUUAUUUAAGUACCCUCUCCAUGAAACCAAAAUGUGUGUAUAUAGGCACAAAAUAUGUAUUUGGUUAAGAUUUUCUAAAUAAAUACUAGAUAAAUAUAAAAGAUCUGAAUUUUAUUUUCUGGUGCGCUGAAAGACAGUAGAUGUAAAUGAAACUGAUCAUUGCCAAAUCAAGAAUGUUUUCUUUAACAGCAAAGUCUCUAACACUUCUGUAUUUGACAGUCUCAGCUUUCUCCAGUUCUGGGAGGUUUGUUUGGCUGGUUGGGAUGGAGUCUCUCUUUAUUCUUUGAUAACAAUUAGUUAUUUUAGGAUUUCCAGCAAGUUGCUUUUGGUAGAAUGGAACAUAUUGUCAAAUUAUAAUCCAUUAUUUAGCAAAAUUACUCCCAGAAAAGUUUUUGGGCUCAAUUUUUUUUCACAUUGUCGUAGAUUCCUUAGUACCUUUAUUUAAAAUGGAAAAGUAGUUUAGCUAAUGGACAAUUUCUGUUAAAAAAAAAAAACAAACAAAACUCUGAAAUACCUUUUAGAAAUAUAUGGAACACCUAUGUGAUAUUAUCUGUGGUUUCUUUAAUAUUAGAUCUACAUGAAGUGCCUUUGUUGUAAAGAGACUUAAAAUUAUUUGUAUGCCUGGUACUCAAUGCUGAAUCAAACUGGUUAACCUAAGCACAGUUCUCUCCUUUCUUUAUUUUUGCUGCACUAAUUGCAGGGAUGUUGGGGGAGGGGAAGGGGGAGAAAGAGGAUGAAAUAACUUCACAGUAGAAGUCCGUGGUGGGUGCAGCAAAAGCUACACACAACCUUGGUUUCACAAUUGCUAAAGAUUUUGCUACCCCUUCUUAGACACCAUAUUGUGGAAAAAAUCUGAGCUCCCAUGGCAAAAAUUAAUUUAUAUCUUUUUUAAAAAUGCUAUUAUUGAGAUUUUUGAUAACCAAAUACAUCUUUUAUGACAUUGUAAUAGUGUAUAUAAAAACAUUAAGAAUUUUAUUUGUGGAAAUUGUAUGUGUGUGUGUAUAUAUAUAUAUAUGUAUAUGAAGAGAGAAGUAAGAAUAGAUAUUGCAAAAUCACAUGUGAAUGAAGAACCACAUAUGACUGUACAUGAAGUGCAAUUAACCAACUGGAAAAAGUGCAUGUGCUUUAUCCUCUCCAGCCAGUUGUAGCUAAAAAUGCUGCUUAUGGUUUUUCUCCCCCCCCAAAAAAAAAAAUGUGUAAAUACUCAGAAUAAAGAAUGAACAUCUUCAUUUUUAA